AUGCUAAUCCAGCUCCAGUCCUUGAAUUUUCCUAGUUUCUCCUCCCCCAAUUUUCUCACCCUGGAAACAUAAUGCCAUCUUUCUGCAGAGAUGUACAUAUUCAAGAACAUAAGUCUUAGUAUCUUUUGGCUUGACUUUGAGCAACUCAUCUACAUCAUAAAAUCCAAGCCCUUGCUUCCUAUGAUAUCUGCAUCCAUCAACCA
rnacentral:misc_RNA from 1 species